CCUACGGGGGACAGCAGUGGGGAAUAUUGGACAAUGGGGGCAACCCUGAUCCAGCCAUGCCGCGUGUGUGAAGAAGGCCCUCGGGUUGUAAAGCACUUUCAGUGAGGAAGAACGCCUGGUGGUUAAUACCCAUCAGGAAAGACAUCACUCACAGAAGAAGCACCGGCUAACUCCGUGCCAGCAGCCGCGGUAAUACGGAGGGUGCGAGCGUUAAUCGGAAUUACUGGGCGUAAAGCGCGCGUAGGUGGCUUGAUAAGCCGGUUGUGAAAGCCCCGGGCUCAACCUGGGAACGGCAUCCGGAACUGUCAAGCUAGAGUGCAGGAGAGGAAGGUAGAAUUCCCGGUGUAGCGGUGAAAUGCGUAGAGAUCGGGAGGAAUACCAGUGGCGAAGGCGGCCUUCUGGACUGACACUGACACUGAGGUGCGAAAGCGUGGGUAGCAAACAGGAUUAGAUACCCUUGUAGUC
rnacentral:rRNA from 1 species